rnacentral:rRNA from 1 species
GUGAGGAAUUUUCCGCAAUGGGCGAAAGCCUGACGGAGCAAUGCCGCGUGAAGGAUGAAGGCCUAUGGGUUGUAAACUUCUUUUCUCAGAAAAGAAUUAUGACGGUACCUGAGGAAUAAGCAUCGGCUAACUCUGUGCCAGCAGCCGCGGUAAGACAGAGGAUGCAAGCGUUAUCCGGAAUGAUUGGGCGUAAAGCGUCUGUAGGUUGUUUAAAAAGUAUUCUGUCAAAGAUUAGGGCUUAACCCUAGAUAGGCAGAAUAAACUUUUAAGCUAGAGUUUGGUAGAGGCAGAGGGAAUUCCCGGUGGAGCGGUGAAAUGCGUAGAUAUCGGGAGGAACACCAAAGGCGAAGGCACUCUGCUGGGCCAAUACUAACACUGAGAGACGAAAGCGAGGGGAGCAAAUGGGAUUAGAAACCCUUGUAGUCC